AUUGAACGCUGGCGGCAGGCCUAACACAUGCAAGUCGAGCGGAGCGGCGGACGGGUGAGUAAUGCCUAGGAAUCUGCCUGGUAGUGGGGGAUAACGUCCGGAAACGGGCGCUAAUACCGCAUCCUAUCAGAUGAACCUAGGUCGGAUUAGCUAGUUGGUGGGGUAAAUGCCUACCAAGGCGACGAUCCGUAACGGGUCUGAGAGGAUGACCAGCCACACUGGAACUGAGACACGGGCCAGACUCCUACGGGAGGCAGCAGUGGGGAAUAUUGCACAAUGGGCGCAAGCCUGAGGCAGCAAUGACGCGUGUAUGAAGAAGGCCUUCGGGUUGUAAAGUACUUUCAGCGGGGAGGCGUUACCCGCAGAAGAAGCACCGGCUAACUCCGUGCCAGCAGCCGCGGUAAUUC
rnacentral:rRNA from 1 species